CCUACGGGUGGCAGCAGUGGGGAAUAUUGCGCAAUGGGCGAAAGCCUGACGCAGCGACGCCGCGUGAGGGAUGAAGGUCUUCGGAUCGUAAACCCCUGUCAGCAGGGAAGAACGGUCACUGUGCUAAUCAGCAGUGAAUUGACGGUACCUGCAAAGGAAGCACCGGCUAACUCCGUGCCAGCAGCCGCGGUCAUACGGAGGGAGCGAGCGUGAAUCGGAAUUACUGGGCGUAAAGCGCUCGUGGGCGGUAUGGCAAGUCAAGGGGUAAAUCCCCGCGCUCAACGUGGGAACUGCCUUUGAAACUGGCAAACUUGAGUGUGUGAGAGGAUAGUGGAAUUCCAGGUGUAGGAGUGAAAGCCGUAGAUAUCUGGAGGAACAUCAGUGGCGAAGGCGACAAUCUGGCACAUGACUGACGCUGAGGAGCGAAAGCGUGGGUAGCAAACAGGAUUAGAUACCCCAGUAGUC
rnacentral:rRNA from 1 species